rnacentral:rRNA from 1 species
UGGGGAAUUUUGGACAAUGGGCGAAAGCCUGAUCCAGCAAUGCCGCGUGUGUGAAGAAGGCCUUCGGGUUGUAAAGCACUUUUGUCCGGAAAGAAAUCCUCUGGGUUAAUACCUCGGGGGGAUGACGGUACCGGAAGAAUAAGCACCGGCUAACUACGUGCCAGCAGCCGCGGUAAUACGUAGGGUGCAAGCGUUAAUCGGAAUUACUGGGCGUAAAGCGUGCGCAGGCGGUUUUGUAAGACGGAUGUGAAAUCCCCGGGCUUAACCUGGGAACUGCAUUCGUGACUGCAAGGCUAGAGUAUGGCAGAGGGGGGUUAGAAUUCCACGUGUAGCAGUGAAAUGCGUAGAGAUGUGGAGGAAUACCGAUGGCGAAGGCAGCCCCCUGGGCCAAUACUGACGCUCAUGCACGAAAGCGUGGGGAGCAAACAGGAUUAGAUACCCUGGUAGUCCACGCCCUAAACGAUGUCAACUAGUUGUUGGGGAUUCAUUUCCUUAGUACGUAGCUAACGCGUGAAGUUGACCGCCUGGGGAGUACGGUCG